rnacentral:rRNA from 1 species
AUUGAACGCUGGCGGCAUGCCUUACACAUGCAAGUCGAACGGUAACAGGUCUUCGGAUGCUGACGAGUGGCGAACGGGUGAGUAAUACAUCGGAACGUGCCCGAUCGUGGGGGAUAACGAAGCGAAAGCUUUGCUAAUACCGCAUAAGAUCUACGGAUGAAAGCAGGGGACCGCAAGGCCUUGCGCGAACGGAGCGGCCGAUGGCAGAUUAGGUAGUGGGUGGGAUAAAAGCUUACCAAGCCGACGAUCUGUAGCUGGUCUGAGAGGACGACCAGCCACACUGGGACUGAGACACGGCCCAGACUCCUACGGGAGGCAGCAGUGGGGAAUUUUGGACAAUGGGCGAAAGCCCGAUCCAGCCAUGCCGCGUGCAGGAUGAAGGCCUUCGGGUUGUAAACUGCUUUUGUACGGAACGAAAAGACUCUUUCUAAUAAAGAGGGUCCAUGACGGUACCGUAAGAAUAAGCACCGGCUAACUACGUGCCAGCCGCCGCCGUAAUAC